CCCGCCUCCUCCCGGUAGGAAACUCCGGGACCCUGCAAGGGAUGACUCACCCCAGUGAUUCAACCGCGCCACCGAGCGCGGAGCUGCCCUGGAGGACGCAGGCGGGUCUAGUUGCCCGGGUCCCCCAAGGCCCCCGGAUUCACCCAGGCCCGCGACUCCGACGUGCAGCUUAGCCUAGUUAACAGAUGCUCCAAAUUUUGAGCCUGUAACCCUUCCAAUCCCUUGCUGCCUUUGAUGGUGAUGCUCCAUCCUAUUAUACCAACUCCACAUUGAAGCAGAACUCUCAAGACAGAGAUGGGGAGGGAUGGAUGGGCUGUGAGGCCCCCCAGCCAAGAAGCUGGAAGAACUUUCUCGAAUCCUGCAGAGCUGCUCAGGGGCCUGCCUUGUAUCUGCCUGGCUGUUCCAGGGAGGUUGGAAGACAAACUGAAGGCUUUCCAUUGCUGAACAUCAGACCUCAGAAGUACUGACUGGAGGGCUCCCAAGCUGGCUCAGAUCAGCCUCAUAUUGCCCCGAACAGUAUCAUCACCGCUUUGCCCUGGUGGGGAAACUACUCUUUACCCUCUGUAUGAACCUAUGAAGCACGCAGGUCACUGGGGCAAUUUCUGAGUUUGAAGUUGCUUGGAUUUGCCAUUGCUGCUAUGUUGAAGGGAAGGGAGUGCUUUUGAAGAAAAUGUUCAUCUCUAGUUCCAGUAACAGGCAUGGAAUUGACACAUAACAGGUGUUUGUUGAAUUGAGCUGAAUAAAUUAGAAUCUGGGGCAAAAUAUAGUUGUUCUUUAUAGUCCUAAGUCUAUUAAUAAAGCAGAUAUAUCCUUAUUACAUGUUUUACUGCCAUAAAUGUGUCUACCAGAACUAGGAAUAAUGACAGACGGAAGGGUUGAGGAUUCUUUCUGACGAUAACCUGCCAGGACACCCGCUUCCUCCCUCCCUGUCCAGAUGGGGUGGACUACAGUGCUCUGGCUCACACCAGGGGUGGAGGUAUUCCCAUUAUUUGUCUGUUUUGUUGUCUGUAGUGCUUAGUCAGAAUGCUGCCUGAUACAUUGCAGGGGUUCAAUGACUUUCUGUGGAAUGAAUGAACAGACAGAUGGUUACUUACCCCAGGGACAUAAGAGCCUCACAUAGCUGCAGCGUGAGCAGUGCCCUCUGCAGUCCUGGACCCAGAUGCAUAGAGGCCGAGAUGUUCAGCCUUCCACCCCAUGGCCAUCCCGGAGCCUGGGGCUGACUCUGUCUGGUUUGGCUGCU
rnacentral:lncRNA from 1 species